GGGUUGUGAGGUUAAGCGACUAAGCGUACACGGUGGAUGCCCUGGCAGUCAGAGGCGAUGAAGGACGUGCUAAUCUGCGAUAAGCGUCGGUAAGGUGAUAUGAACCGUUAUAACCGGCGAUUUCCGAAUGGGGAAACCCAGUGUGUUUCGACACACUAUCAUUAACUGAAUCCAUAGGUUAAUGAGGCGAACCGGGGGAACUGAAACAUCUAAGUACCCCGAGGAAAAGAAAUCAACCGAGAUUCCCCCAGUAGCGGCGAGCGAACGGGGAGCAGCCCAGAGCCUGAAUCAGUAUGUGUGUUAGUGGAAGCGUCUGGAAAGGCGCGCGAUACAGGGUGACAGCCCCGUACACAAAAAUGCACAUGCUGUGAGCUCGAUGAGUAGGGCGGGACACGUGGUAUCCUGUCUGAAUAUGGGGGGACCAUCCUCCAAGGCUAAAUACUCCUGACUGACCGAUAGUGAACCAGUACCGUGAGGGAAAGGCGAAAAGAACCCCGGCGAGGGGAGUGAAAAAGAACCUGAAACCGUGUACGUACAAGCAGUGGGAGCACGCUUAGGCGUGUGACUGCGUACCUUUUGUAUAAUGGGUCAGCGACUUAUAUUCUGUAGCAAGGUUAACCGAAUAGGGGAGCCGAAGGGAAACCGAGUCUUAACUGGGCGUUAAGUUGCAGGGUAUAGACCCGAAACCCGGUGAUCUAGCCAUGGGCAGGUUGAAGGUUGGGUAACACUAACUGGAGGACCGAACCGACUAAUGUUGAAAAAUUAGCGGAUGACUUGUGGCUGGGGGUGAAAGGCCAAUCAAACCGGGAGAUAGCUGGUUCUCCCCGAAAGCUAUUUAGGUAGCGCCUCGUGAAUUCAUCUCCGGGGGUAGAGCACUGUUUCGGCAAGGGGGUCAUCCCGACUUACCAACCCGAUGCAAACUGCGAAUACCGGAGAAUGUUAUCACGGGAGACACACGGCGGGUGCUAACGUCCGUCGUGAAGAGGGAAACAACCCAGACCGCCAGCUAAGGUCCCAAAGUCAUGGUUAAGUGGGAAACGAUGUGGGAAGGCCCAGACAGCCAGGAUGUUGGCUUAGAAGCAGCCAUCAUUUAAAGAAAGCGUAAUAGCUCACUGGUCGAGUCGGCCUGCGCGGAAGAUGUAACGGGGCUAAACCAUGCACCGAAGCUGCGGCAGCGACGCUGAUGCGUUGUUGGGUAGGGGAGCGUUCUGUAAGCCUGCGAAGGUGUACUGUGAGGUAUGCUGGAGGUAUCAGAAGUGCGAAUGCUGACAUAAGUAACGAUAAAGCGGGUGAAAAGCCCGCUCGCCGGAAGACCAAGGGUUCCUGUCCAACGUUAAUCGGGGCAGGGUGAGUCGACCCCUAAGGCGAGGCCGAAAGGCGUAGUCGAUGGGAAACAGGUUAAUAUUCCUGUACUUGGUGUUACUGCGAAGGGGGGACGGAGAAGGCUAUGUUGGCCGGGCGACGGUUGUCCCGGUUUAAGCGUGUAGGCUGGUUUUCCAGGCAAAUCCGGAAAAUCAAGGCUGAGGCGUGAUGACGAGGCACUACGGUGCUGAAGCAACAAAUGCCCUGCUUCCAGGAAAAGCCUCUAAGCAUCAGGUAACAUCAAAUCGUACCCCAAACCGACACAGGUGGUCAGGUAGAGAAUACCAAGGCGCUUGAGAGAACUCGGGUGAAGGAACUAGGCAAAAUGGUGCCGUAACUUCGGGAGAAGGCACGCUGAUAUGUAGGUGAAGUCCCUCGCGGAUGGAGCUGAAAUCAGUCGAAGAUACCAGCUGGCUGCAACUGUUUAUUAAAAACACAGCACUGUGCAAACACGAAAGUGGACGUAUACGGUGUGACGCCUGCCCGGUGCCGGAAGGUUAAUUGAUGGGGUCAGCGCAAGCGAAGCUCUUGAUCGAAGCCCCGGUAAACGGCGGCCGUAACUAUAACGGUCCUAAGGUAGCGAAAUUCCUUGUCGGGUAAGUUCCGACCUGCACGAAUGGCGUAAUGAUGGCCAGGCUGUCUCCACCCGAGACUCAGUGAAAUUGAACUCGCUGUGAAGAUGCAGUGUACCCGCGGCAAGACGGAAAGACCCCGUGAACCUUUACUAUAGCUUGACACUGAACAUUGAGCCUUGAUGUGUAGGAUAGGUGGGAGGCUUUGAAGUGUGGACGCCAGUCUGCAUGGAGCCGACCUUGAAAUACCACCCUUUAAUGUUUGAUGUUCUAACGUGGACCCGUAAUCCGGGUUGCGGACAGUGUCUGGUGGGUAGUUUGACUGGGGCGGUCUCCUCCUAAAGAGUAACGGAGGAGCACGAAGGUUGGCUAAUCCUGGUCGGACAUCAGGAGGUUAGUGCAAUGGCAUAAGCCAGCUUGACUGCGAGCGUGACGGCGCGAGCAGGUGCGAAAGCAGGUCAUAGUGAUCCGGUGGUUCUGAAUGGAAGGGCCAUCGCUCAACGGAUAAAAGGUACUCCGGGGAUAACAGGCUGAUACCGCCCAAGAGUUCAUAUCGACGGCGGUGUUUGGCACCUCGAUGUCGGCUCAUCACAUCCUGGGGCUGAAGUAGGUCCCAAGGGUAUGGCUGUUCGCCAUUUAAAGUGGUACGCGAGCUGGGUUUAGAACGUCGUGAGACAGUUCGGUCCCUAUCUGCCGUGGGCGCUGGAGAACUGAGGGGGGCUGCUCCUAGUACGAGAGGACCGGAGUGGACGCAUCACUGGUGUUCGGGUUGUCAUGCCAAUGGCACUGCCCGGUAGCUAAAUGCGGAAGAGAUAAGUGCUGAAAGCAUCUAAGCACGAAACUUGCCCCGAGAUGAGUUCUCCCUGACUCCUUGAGAGUCCUGAAGGAACGUUGAAGACGACGACGUUGAUAGGCCGGGUGUGUAAGCGCAGCGAUGCGUUGAGCUAACCGGUACUAAUGAACCGUGAGGCUUAACCUUACAACGCCGAAGGUGUUU
rnacentral:rRNA from 1 species